UUCCCUUUUUUCUGUAUUUUGGACGGUGCAGAGUCAACCUGAGAGCCUACCCGUCCUUGGCUUUUUGCCCUUUCCCUUUUCUAAACCUACAAUAUGUACGUGAAAAUGUUGCCUGGUGGGUUCCUUUCCUCUCUCCCCAUUUUCCGUCUUCUACGUGCGGAAAAAACUUGUCCGUUGGACUUUCAUUUUUCCCUUUUUGGGAGAGUGGUUUUUAGGGAGUAAAUUGGGUGGGGAAUAGCACUUUCAAUCACAUUUGCUAGAC
rnacentral:lncRNA from 1 species